UACGUAGGAUCCAAGCGUUUGUCCGGAUUUACUGGGGUGUAAAGGGUGCGCAGGCGGACUGGUUAGUCUGGGGUGAAAUCUCAUCGCUUAACGGUGAAACUGCCUUAGAUACUGCCAGUCUUGAAUCAGCGAAGAGGUUCGUGGAAUUCCGAGUGUAGCAGUGAAAUGUGUAGAUAUUCGGAAGAACACCAGUGGCGAAGGCAGCGAACUGGCGCUCGAUU
rnacentral:rRNA from 1 species